rnacentral:sRNA from 1 species
CCAUCUUUUCUGGCGCUGGCUCCUCUUGGUCAGUGCGGUUUCGCCUUUAUGGUGGUGGAGUACGCCCAAGCUGUGGGACUAUCAGUCCUCCCUGUGCAGCCAGUUCAGAGAGGCUGCACACUCUCUCGGCUCACUGCAACCUCUGCCUCCAGGGUCAAGCAGUUCUCCUGCCUCAGCCUUCCGAGUACCUGGGAUUACAGGACAGCAAAUAACCCUGUACAAAGGGGAAUGGAGAUUGCCUCUAUCCACCUAGAUUCAUAAGAUGCCCUGAGGUGAUCUUGGCAUCACGGAAGGUAUGCACAUCACACCAUCAGCUUCAGAGAAUGGCAGCCAUUUAUUUGUCCCGUGGGUUUUUUUCCAGGGAACCAAUCUGCCCUUUUGAAGAAAAGACAGAGGUAGAAAGGAUGGUGGAGGACUACCUGGCAAACGGUUAUCAGGUAAGCAGAAAAUGUACUGUUGUUAAAAAUGACAUGCUUUCAUCCAAUAGGUAGACACCUUUCUUUCUAGACAGACUCAUCUCCAGAGUUUUCUUAGAGCAAGUGAAGCCUUACUCGAGGACUGAGUCCCCAGAUGAAUUUCCCCAGAGAAUGAAGUCUCCUGUACAUAAAGUGUUAACUUGAAAAUCAGUCCGGUAGCUCAGUAAUUAUUACUUAAGCUUGACCUUCAUGGUGCCAACUGCAUCUUUCUUACAUUGCUGGGUGUGGUGACAGAUGAUA